UACGAAGGGGGCUAGCGUUGCUCGGAAUUACUGGGCGUAAAGCGCACGUAGGCGGCUUUCUAAGUCGGGGGUGAAAUCCUGGAGCUCAACUCCAGAACUGCCUUUGAUACUGAAGAUCUUGAGUCCGGGAGAGGUGAGUGGAACUGCGAGUGUAGAGGUGAAAUUCGUAGAUAUUCGCAAGAACACCAGUGGCGAAGGCGGCUCACUGGCCCGGUACUGACGCUGAGGUGCGAAAGCGUGGGGAGCAAACAGGG
rnacentral:rRNA from 1 species